rnacentral:miRNA from 1 species
CAAUGCUGCACUUGCUGCUC